rnacentral:tRNA from 1 species
AGCUUUCUGGCAGAUAAAUGCUCGGGCUUUAAGUGCCCGCCAUACUCUUCGAGUGCUAGCUU